UACAGAGGGUGCGAGCGUUAAUCGGAAUUACUGGGCGUAAAGCGUGCGUAGACGGUAGCGUAAGUCAGAUGUGAAAGCCCCGGGCUCAACCUGGGAAUUGCAUUUGAGACUGCUCUGCUCGGGUGCGGAAGAGGGAAGCGGAAUUUCCGGUGUAGCGGUGAAAUGCGUAGAUAUCGGAAGGAACACCAGUGGCGAAAGCGGCUUCCUGGACCAUAACUGACGCUGAUGCACGAAAGCUAGGGGAGCAAACAGG
rnacentral:rRNA from 1 species